AUGAUGAGAGGCGUGUUGGCUCCUUACCCCCUCCUCCCCCCGCCCCCUCUUCCAUGGUCAGGGAGCGUUUCAUGGCCUCUGGCCUCGAUCCAUAUGAGCGUCCCCCUCCUCCUCCCCCGUCUGCGUACUACACCAGGACCGCAGUCCCAUGGAGGGCCCCUCCUCCCCCAUGCCCCCCGCCGUAACGGUUACUCCUAUGAGCGUUCCCGACUUCCCCCGUCUCUCGGCCCGCGAUGUACAACCUACCACGUACCAGGGACCCCUACGCCGACAGGUUGCCGCCGCCGCCACCGGCCCGCUAUUACUAAGCAGCGUACACCGGCGUUUGACUCAAGGUUUAAAUAUUUCAACAAGAUCUGCGUCCUCGUCACCGCCGUCGUCUCCUGAUGCACGCAGCGAUUUACCCCCGUCUGGUUGAGCGCGUUUCGUUCUCCUGCAACACUCUCAGGAGGAAUUGUAAUGCAUGACCCCUCGUCAUCUAAAACACUUUUAUUACACUCGUAUUGUUUUGGCCUUUUUUGUUUUGUAUUUUAGUGUUGUGCUUUAGCUACAUUUAUAGUCUCUGGCUCCCAGAAGCCUUUUAGUCAGUCGUUUUUUUUUAAUUUUACGUCCUUGAUAUACUGUAACGUGUCAUGAUACAAACUUUUGCUGUUAAAUCAAAUUUCUGAAAUUUGAUGAAUGGAAGCUGCAGCACGUUAUUAUGAAAAGGAUGUUAUUAAUAUCAAAUAAUCGUGACUGUAUAUCGACUUGAAUACGAACCAUCAUGUGUUUCCUUUGAAAUUAAACCACCACGUUUGUUCAAUCUACGUCUGAAAUUAUGACAAGUUAUGGAUUAUGAAAAGGUUGCGCUCUGCGACAAUGUACAACGGCGUAAUAAAACCACUACGACGGACUACAACAAUGGACUAGUUGGUUAAUUUAAUUGGACAAAUAUUUGCUGAUUGUAGCUAGUUUUACCAAGGUGGGUAACGUUCUUGUUUGUCAUCACAGAGGACAUGAUUUUAGUAAAUAAAAUAAACUGAAUUGUAUAGUCAUUUGGAUAUAUUUUUUUUCUCUUGUUAAAUCAUAGUCGUGUCACAGAUUCUUAUCAGUGAUUCAAUGGCGGAUGAUCAGUUGCUUCACAAUAUACUUAAACCAUUGAAUCGUGAACGGGGGAUAUAUGCUUGAUUAUGAUAAAUCUAAGAAUCGUCCUCUACCAAUGUGAAAUAACGUUAUCGCUUAUAUCUCCCCUCGACUUCAAGUGCUCAAUCACAAUUGAACUAUCUAAAUCAACCCCUUCACUGCCCAUCAAUUUAUAUAGGUUUCAUGGGUUGGAUUGAUGGGGCUUUAUUGUCAUGUCCCCAGUUCUCACCAUAUUACACUUGGCAUGACUGUUCUGAGCACCCUUGCUCUGGAAGACUCUUUGGAGAGAUGUUCUUGGCACAGCCUGCAGUGGCCUAACCAGGUAAGAUGGGAAUCGGGAUCAGUUGUGGGUUGUAUGAAACUAAGGGUUAAAGAUGUGAGAAAUUUAGGUACACAGGAGUAGAGGUAUUUUCUGAAUUUAGUACAGGGAAAAGGCAAACAACCUUUUGAUUAAUGCUGAGUGUGGACAGGUAAUAUAGUUGUUAUUCCUUUCCAAACUAAACAACAGUAUGUCAAUCAAAUGUCUUUUAAAGAGGAAAUCUGGAUUUCAUCAACAUUUUGGGACUAAAAUUAAUUAUAUAUGCCUAACCAUUGAUUUUUACAGAAUAUAUAGCUUUAAUGCCUCAUGAGCAUAGUUAAACUGACCUACCCCAAAAAAUGUUUUACAGCCCAAACGUAAGUUUGUUACUCCACUGUUUGUAAAAAAAAUAAAUAAAAAAUGUUUAAUUGUUAACAAACUAUAGCUUCAAAGUCUGGUUAACUAUUAUUUUGAUCUCAUAGAUAGUCAGUCUUUUCAAUAGCUCAGUUUAUGAUUUUCAGUGGUUACAUUUCACCAGCCCAUCCCUCAGCUGUUAACCAAACAAUUGUCGGGGAAUUUGUUAUUUGAAUCGAAGAUUGCCCAUCCAUUAUCAGGCAGGGACCAAGUAUUUUCAGGUCAGCAGGUUCCUGGUAAUAUGUGUGUAUUUACAUUUGAUUUUUUAGUGGGCAUAUAAGAAAAACGAAAACGAGCCUUUAUUGGACAAGUGCAGGUUAGUAAGUCGCCCGGUUUUGGCCAUAUUGGUUCCUAGUGAAUGCGCACCUGCGUUCGAUGUUCUAGGUAUCUGUUAAAUUACACAUGUAUAGUUAAUUGAGCAUUCGUAUGUAGUGACACCUAUACUGGAAAUAGUUAUAUUGGUUUGUACAACCUGUCAUUCCUACUAUCCGGUGCCUUUUGGUCCUCAUAACUUAAAAAAAAACGUGUGUAUAUGUAUUUUAUCAGAAAGCACACGUUUGACUUUCAUAAAAUAUUGGUCAAACUCGGGCACUAAAAUCCCUGUUGUGUGCAUGAUCCUAUACAGUCCAUUGCAUAAUCCUAACGGUGGCAAUUUGGAGCAUAAAUUAGCCAUAGCUCUGUGAUUUUUAAGAUAAAAAUCCUUUUAAGUGUUCACGAUUAUGUUAACUUCUUUAUGAAAUGUUUUUUUAAGAUUUUGCAAUUUAAUUUUCUCUCAUUUAGCCUAACAAAGGAAAUGUAUGACUAGCAUAAUGAAAAAUGCAUAAAAAAACCGAGUUUUAUUUAUACAUUGGCACAAUUGUUCCCCCCCCCCCCCCCCCCAAAAAAAACCGAUGUCCUGAACUGAUUGUGGGAAGGGCAAUGUGUUUUCUUAAUAAAGGAGAAUUGCUACAUACUAAGGGAGAAAAGUGAUAUCGGGGCACACAUUUUAAAUCCAGUAGUUUAUAUUUCUCGUAGAAGUUGAAUAACACCUGGGGUGGCAUAAACGCCUCAAAAUGCGUAGCAUUCCCUUUCAAGAUCUAUAUUUUUGUGUUUUUAAGAAAUGGACGCCUGACAUUAAUUCCCCUUCCCGAUUGUUUCAUCUCCAAAUAAAAUAUUUAAAACCAUGAUCUUGUUUGUUCACUCUGGGUUGAUCGUGCCCUUUCCAAACAAGGGUAUUGUACAUACAAUUUUGGGAGGGCUGGCCACACAAGAUUACAGAUGUGGUUACAGGUCAUGUAUAAUUUCUGUUGGUGGUUAGCCUAUGAUAUUUAUAAACCCAUAUUUAACCAUUAUCAUAUGACUGACUGGUAAUGAGAUCCUUUUGGUGUGCCUGUGCUCUCGGUUCCCUUUGAAGCCUACUGCCCUCUGCUGGGCACUGGCUGGUAUGUUUCUCAAAAUACCCUUACUUACACCACAACACAUGUUCCCACUCUUACCCAAUAAAAAGUAAUCAAAUGUAUAUAUUUCAAAAGGGUAGAGGAAUUUUCAUUUUUUUAUUGCAUACAGAGAGCAUGCUGUAUAUUCAAACAAUAUUUACAGACGUGCAUAUUUUAUAAUAGACUCACAUUUUCUUUAUAAAACAAAAAAUUAGGAUCUCAGUCCCACUCAUAAUGACGUCUCACCCCAGAGUAAACCACGUUCAUUGUCCUUUCGCUUAUAGCAUGUGCACAUAGUCUAAACCCAGAGGCGAGACAUCGCAAGAUUUAAGGAACGCUUGCGAAACAGACGAACAGAACAGGCCGUGGUUUGAGAGGUCAAUGAGAGAAGUGAGAAAUUAUUCCUUUAAAUUUCUCAAUCUAAAGGCACAACCUAGAUUCGGUCCGUAUCUUAACUAGUUGAACAUCAAAUUACUCCAACCUCGUGAAAGUGAUGAACUGACACGUUUUCAUUUCAAAAACAACUUUAUAUCAAAGUAGUGCCUUUUGAUUUAACGGCUUGCUCAGUUCGGGCGAGAAGACCCAUUUGACCUGAUGUGCUUCUACACAUAGUUUUGCUACAGUGCCUUGCGAAAGUAUUCGGCGACCUUUUGCCACAUUUCAGGCUUCAAACAUAAAGAUAUAAAACAAUUUUUUUGUGAAGAAUCAAUAACAAGUGGGACACAAUCAUGAAGUGGAACAACAUUUAUUGGAUAUUUCAAACUUUUUUUAACAAAACAAAAACUGAAAAAUUGGGCGUGCAAAAUUAUUCAGCCCCCUUAAGUUAAUACUUUGUAGCGCCACCUUUUGCUGCGAUUACAGCUGUAAGUCGCUUGGGGUAUGUCUCUAUCAGUUUUGCACAUCGAGAGACUGAAAUGUUUUCCCAUUCCUCCUUGCAAAACAGCUCGAGCUCAGUGAGGUUGGAUGGAGAGCAUUUGUGGAACA
ensembl:lncRNA